AGAAUCAUUUAAAAAAUAGAUUAUUUGUGUUAGAGUCGGCGCUGACAACAGAAGCUUCACUCCGAUAUUGAGUCACUCAGAAGCAGUUUAUUGUACGUGUGCACACGGGUCAACAGUCAAGCUGAGGACUGAAGACCCCGAAGCUCCAGCUUCUAGGCUUUUUAUAGGGCAGUUUCAUACGGGUGGGGUA